ACCUAAGCAGUAGGUAAUUCGCCAUCACGCGUCGUUUGGAAGAAGAAGUUCCAGAUCGCGAAUUAGAUGCUGUAGCAUCUUCAUUAAACCAAACUAGAUUCAACUGUGCAAAUGCAGAACAGGUACUGAAUCCGGAUCCACAAGAUACAAGUACAAUCGCCAGAAUAAUUACAAUUGAAAAUUGUAACUAGAACAACAUAUGGUUUUCGCCAUUCAGUCUGCUUUACGUGGAGAACUAAGACGUACUCGUACUAGAAUGUCCGGAAAAGGAAAUUAAAAAUGGUUGGAAGUCGAGGCUUGGCAUGGUGAAGCAAAAAUUUCACCAAGAAUUAAGGGAACAUUUGUUGGAGGUACAUGACCUUCAAAAAUGAGGUAUUACCUUGAUGAUUAUCAAUGCUGUAGAAGGACCAAGACAAAAAAUGUGCAGUUUGGGGUUAAGCUACACAGCCAACAAAUGGAAGAAUGGCAAUAUCUCAAGCUUUCGUUUUGAGUGAGGUGCAGGUGAUUAUGCCUUUAUAUUGUUUUAUUAAGUAUUUAUUUAGUUAUUCACGUCACAAAGUUUAUUAUCAGCGGGUUGUAGUUGUACCGCAUGCAGUUCGAUUCUCAGCUUCAUCUUGCGGACUGCAAGCUCCUGUGUCUUAAAGGGGGUCCUGUAAUUAACAUUUCGUCUAUAUUUAUACGUUUUACUUGGAGGAUAAUGGAAAGUGAACAUGAAUCCUUACCAUUGACAUAUAAUAAUAAUAAUAAUAUAAUAAUCAUUAUGUACUUCUCGUGGUAAAUUAAUGGAAUCAGUAAAUGAAUAAAUGAUACUGGCGUUCA